rnacentral:rRNA from 1 species
UACAGAGGUCCCAAGCGUUGUUCGGAUUCACUGGGCGUAAAGGGUGCGUAGGCGGUCGGGUAAGUCUGAUGUGAAAUCUCACAGCUUAACUGUGAAACUGCAUUGGAUACUAUCCGGCUCGAGGAAUGGAGGGGAGACUGGAAUACUUGGUGUAGCAGUGAAAUGCGUAGAUAUCAAGUGGAACACCAGUGGCGAAGGCGAGUCUCUAGACAUUUCCUGACGCUGAGGCACGAAAGCCAGGGGAGCAAACAGG